GCCUGGUAGUGGGGGACAACGUUUCGAAAGGAACGCUAAUACCGCAUACGUCCUACGGGAGAAAGUGGGGGAUCUUCGGACCUCACGCUAUCAGAUGAGCCUAGGUCGGAUUAGCUAGUUGGUGAGGUAAUGGCUCACCAAGGCGACGAUCCGUAACUGGUCUGAGAGGAUGAUCAGUCACACUGGAACUGAGACACGGUCCAGACUCCUACGGGAGGCAGCAGUGGGGAAUAUUGGACAAUGGGCGAAAGCCUGAUCCAGCCAUGCCGCGUGUGUGA
rnacentral:rRNA from 1 species